AUGCACACAGGGGAAGGGCCACCAUCUCCCUUAAAGUCUCUUUCCAGAAGCAACAAAGUUCACCACCUCUGCUCACCCCUGGAAAUAAGCACCAGACUAUCCCGAUCAAGCAUGAACGCAUCAACUCUAGGGCAGAGGCAGAAGUGGUGUCUCGUCUCCACUCAGGAGCUUUCCUCAUGGCGAUUUCCCAAAACACAAUCUGUCUCGGAAGGAGGCACUGGCUUGAGAGGAGGAGAAAGCAAAACCACCCUUCCCAGAUGGAUGUCACAGAGUCGCCAACUCACCACCUUCUGUGAAGGACUCACAGGGAGGAUGUCACAUCUGGACUCUUACCAAAGUGCCACAAAGGAACACACUUGGCUGUUUUUACUCGGAAACAUGGCUGCAGCCCUCAGCCGACACCCCCAGGGACGCUGGCUCUGCCCUUGGCACCUGGCACCUUGCCUUGGAUGCAGUGGACUACAUAGCCCCCGUGCUCCAAGGGUUCAGAUGCUCCCAAGAGGACCACGCCUGGGUCCUGGACAUCACCGCCAGGGCAAAAUCCUCAGGAGGUUUGGGCUUUUGUUGACUGUGAAGCCGCAGGAGGCUGGGGCUUUUCACUGAUGGCGAUUGUGGCACCGCAAUGGUCAGCAGUAGCUCCGUUGACCCACAUCUUCCAACGGUGGCUUCUCUCUGGGGGACCUACUCCAGUCCUCUCCCCUCAACACGAACUGAAAGGAUGUAUGAAGAGCUCUGAAUUUGCAGCCCACAAAACCUAGACAGACAGACACACAUACACACACACACGCACACAAACUUUCAACGAGACGUGUGUGUGUGUGUGUGUGUGCUCACAAAUUCAGUCCCAAGAUCUUGCUCCAAGCCCCACCCAGUUCACGGGGGGAAGCCGGCCCGCAGCACGCUGGAGGUGGCCUAUCAACUGACCUCUAACUCACUCCAGAAAGAUGAGUGAUGCCUGAAAACUAAAAUGAUCCAGGUUGAGAAGACAAGCGAUGAGGUAGGAGCUGGGUCUCCAGUCCUUGAUCCCAGGGGCCGUGCGCGCAGCUCUAGCGCCACCUCGUGGACGGAUGGGAUUCAUCCCGCAUUUCGCAUCAGCCCACCCACUCAUCCCACCACCUCCCGCCUGACUUGAGGUCCUCUCAGCUCUCUUGAGGCUCUCCCGAGCUUGGUGACCACAGGGUGUGUUCUAGAAAUACUAGUUCUAGGAAUACGUCUAACGUGGGCGAGGCGGGGCUUCUCCAGUAACUAGAGGAGCAACUGCAAACUUGUCUCGAGGGCUAUGAACUGAAAAGAUGUUUCAGAGGAAUUGAAGCACACAAACACACAGGGACACACCCACAGACACACGUAGGGACACACAGAGAUGCACACACACACACACACAUACACAGAAGCACACAUAGUCACAAACACAAGGACACACACACACCAUACUCAGAAGAAGUGUGUGCCCACAGCUUCAAUGCCAAGCUCUCUCUCCAGGCCCUGCCGGCUCGUGGGGGCAUCAAACCGGACUCCCCUAAUCCUGCCACAUCCCAGCAAUCGCCGAUGGCCAGAGCUGCCUUAUCAAGGUCCUGCCCCUGGUUUGUUUUUGUUUUUGUUUUAAUGUCUGCUUUUCUGCCCCAGUUCGGGAUGCAGGUCUGGGCAGCCCCAGGAGAGGGAGCAGUGGGUCAAGCCCAGACUCUUCCAGGGGGGCAGAAAUGGCUGUCAGUUCACACUCACACACACACACACACACACACUCUCUCUGCCCAGCGGGCCCCCAGCAGGGCCACAGAAAAUUCAGGGAUCAGAUCACAAGGCCACCGCCACCACCCGCCCUCUGUCCGGUGUGCUGGCCCAUCAGGCCGUGGAGACCUUCCUGGUGAAUUGAGGGGCUGAAAACAGAACUGAGAGGCUCACAGCCUCUUCCCCAGAGAGAAAAAGAAAGUGAGAGAUGGUCUGUACGGUUUAUCCCGCAGGAACCUUCGCAAAGUCAGGCACAAGCAGCCAGGGCAAGAGGACUUAGAAAAGAUGAAAGGAGCAAACAAACAGCAAGUGCCAAAUGUCUGCAGUCCUGACACUGCAGGGCAGGAAAUCAGCUCCCCGUGGCAGGAAACCCCGGCUCUCAGGCCUGGCUUCUGAGCUGUGUGACCUUGGGCAGGGCUCUUAACCUCUCUGAGCCCAGCUUUCUCACCCACAAAAGGAAGGUCUCCUGAUGGAGACCCAACAAGUCAAUAAUACAUGUUUCCCUGGAUAAAAGUAGCUCUGGAGGCCAUCCUACAUGGUAAUAUAUGCAAAAGACCCAGAAUUGAAUCCGAGGGCUUUGAAAAACAGUGUGGCUCUUUAUCAAUUGUCACUUGAUACACCAAGCUUUACCCACUAAGAUACGUCCCGAAGUCCCUGGCAGCUGGCAGCAGUGCCAAACUUCUUCUCUCUCCAGUCUCUCCCCCUAAAUCUCCUCCGAAAAUAUCAUUGUCCUUGCCAAGGUAGCCCCACCGUCCCUCACACUCACGGUUCCCAGCCCCGGCUGCCUGUUAUGUGCACCUCAAAACCUUCCUAAAGGGCCAAGCCCGGGGCCCCACUGCAGAGGAGUGAAAUCUGACUUUCUGGAAGCUGGAUCUGAGUGUCAGUCCUAUUUAGAUGCUCUGAGGUGAUUUUAUUUGCAUUCAGGGUAGAAAUUGCUGUUCUAAAUAUUUUUUAAACGGUUCAUUUGAAAUGUACUUUUACCAUCACGUUCCAUCACAAAAGACUGGAUACAGUUCCUGUGCUGUAGAGUGUGAUAGAGCAUGAUGGAAGGUAAUAUGAGACAAAGGAUAUUUAUAUAUGGCUGGGUCACUUUGCUGUUCAGCAGAAAUUGACACAACAUUGUAAUUCACCUCUACUUUAAUAAAAAAAAAAAUU
rnacentral:lncRNA from 1 species